rnacentral:rRNA from 1 species
GACGAACGCUGGCGGCGUGCUUAACACAUGCAAGUCGAACGCUGAAGACCUGGCUUUUGUUGGGUUGGAUGAGUGGCGAACGGGUGAGUAACACGUGAGUAACCUGCCCUCUUCUUUGGGAUAACGCCCGGAAACGGGUGCUAAUACUGGAUAUUCACUGAUCUUCGCAUGGGGGUUGGUGGAAAGGUUUGUUCUGGUGGGGGAUGGGCUCGCGGCCUAUCAGCUUGUUGGUGGGGUGAUGGCCUACCAAGGCUUUGACGGGUAGCCGGCCUGAGAGGGUGACCGGUCACAUUGGGACGGAGAUACGGCCCAGACUCCUACGGGAGGCAGCAGUGGGGAAUAUUGCACAAUGGGCGAAAGCCUGAUGCAGCGACGCCGCGUGAGGGAUGGAGGCCUUCGGGUUGUAAACCUCUUUCGCUCAUGGUCAAGCCGCAACUGUGGGUUGUGGUGAGGGUAGUGUGUAAAGAAGCGCCGGCUAACUACGUG